rnacentral:lncRNA from 1 species
GGUUUUGUAAUCAUGGCAACAAUGGUUGCUGCUUCUUAUGAGCCCUACACUUAUAGCUCUCCACCACCACCAAUGUACAAUUCUCCUGCACCGAAAGUUGACUACAAGUCUCCACCACCUCCUUACGUAUACAGUUCUCCUCCACCUCCACCAAUGUAUUCGCCAUCUCCUAAAGUGGAUUAUAAAUCCCCACCACCUCCUUACGUCUACAGCUCACCACCACCGCCAUACUAUUCACCUUCUCCAAAGGUGGAUUACAAAUCUCCACCACCUCCUUACGUGUAUAGCUCGCCACCACCACCAUAUUACUCACCUUCUCCAAAGGUGGACUACAAAUCUCCACCACCUCCUUAUGUCUACAGCUCCCCACCACCACCACCAUACAUAUACGGUUCUCCACCCCCACCACCAUACUACUCACCUUCUCCUAAGGUAGACUACAAGUCUCCACCACCUCCUUACGUCUAUAGCUCUCCACCACCGCCCCCUUACGUUUACAACUCACCACCACCACCCCCGUACUACUCACCCUCUCCUAAAGUCGAUUACAAAUCUCCUCCACCACCUUACGUCUACACUUCUCCACCACCACCAUACAACUCACCUUCUCCAAAGAUUGAUUACAAAUCUCCACCCCCACCGUAUGUUUACUACUCCCCACCACCACCAUACUACUCGCCUUCACCUAGACCCAUAUACAAAUCGCCACCCCCACCAUACGUCUACAGCUCCCCACCACCACCUUAUUACUCUCCUUCACCCAAACCAUCAUACAAGUCUCCACCACCUCCGUACGUAUACAGCUCUCCACCACCACCAUACUACUCUCCUCCUAAACCCGCAUACAAAUCGCCACCACCACCAUAUGUCUACAGCUCUCCACCACCACCAUACUACUCGCCUUCACCUAAACCAGCAUACAAAUCUCCACCACCACCAUAUAUCUACAGCUCUCCCCCACCACCAUACUACUCGCCUUCACCCAAGCCCGUAUACAAAUCCCCACCACCGCCAUACGUCUACAGCUCCCCACCCCCACCUUACUAUUCUCCAUCACCUAAACAUGUAUACAAAUCUCCACCACCUCCGUAUGUCUACAGCUCUCCGCCCCCACCAUACUACUCUCCUUCUCCUAAGCCCGCGUACAAAUCUCCUCCACCACCAUAUGUCUAUAGUUCUCCUCCACCACCAUACUAUUCUCCUUCCCCUAAGCCAGCAUACAAAUCACCACCACCGCCAUAUGUGUACAGUUCUCCCCCACCACCAUAUUACUCGCCUUCUCCCAAGCCCGCUUACAAAUCUCCACCACCACCAUAUGUAUACAGCUCCCCACACCUCCACCAAUGUAUUCGCCAUCUCCUAAAGUGGAUUAUAAAUCCCCACCACCUCCUUACGUCUACA